UACGUAGGUGGCAAGCGUUGUCCGGAUUUACUGGGCGUAAAGGGCGUGCAGGCGGUUUGUUAAGUCUAGGGUGAAAGCUCCCGGCUCAACUGGGAGAGGUCCUUGGAUACUGGCAGACUUGAGGAGGGUAGAGGAGAGUGGAAUUCCCGGUGUAGUGGUGAUAUGCGUAGAUAUCGGGAGGAACACCAGUGGCGAAGGCGGCUCUCUGGGCCCUACCUGACGCUGAGACGCGAAAGCGUGGGGGAGCGAACCGG
rnacentral:rRNA from 1 species